rnacentral:rRNA from 1 species
GUUACCAUCCUUCUCCUACCUUCCUCCUUCCCCUUCUGCAAGAUAGGACUCCAUGAAUCCUUGUACUGGUUGUAAUAGCCAUUGCUACUGAAGUACUUAGUAAUCUUGAUCGAGAGCUACGCCUUCCAUCGCUACUCUUACACCUCCCCCGUGCAAAUAAGCAGCUGCCGCCGAGUCUGCCUUGCCAAUACUCUCUGGAGAUGCAAAGCCUCCCAUGGGCGAUUACCCGAAGCGUCAGCAGAGUCGGCUCUGCUGCGCCUCGCUGGUGGCUUCCAGCUCUUGCCCGACGAGAUGCCCCUCCACUCAUGGAGUCAGUACCGUCUUAUCCAAAUCAACAUCUCUAUAAAAUUUUCCGUGAGUAGCAUAGUAAGCUGGAUUUGCCGUGCCUCUCCUUCUGUUCUGCUACUACACGAGGCAUGGAUAAAGCAGAGAGGAUGAAGGCAGCAGAGGAGAGCAAUCCCAUGGUAGAGACAAGUGCAAUACAAGAUGUGUAUUACCAGCCAAUCAUCCCGGGUAGCAGCCACCGUGAUGGUACUAUAUACAAGAAAAGGCUUGAAUGGGAAAGUGAAUACUGUGUAGAUGUUGACGACCGCACAGAAACUGGAGCCAGCAUCUUGGGACGAUAUGACAUGUGAGAUGAUGCAGAUUUUCUCCUUAAAGUUAGCUAAAUCUCCUAUCAACAGUGGCUCAAUGCAGUUAUAUGGAUACAUCGCGGCACGAGAUGAAUAUGAUUUAAGGCUUAAUUAUCUUUUCAAUCGUAGCAGAGAAGAUCCCAUCGUCGUGCAACAGGGUUUUCUCAUUCAAAUGACCGGACCUAAGAGAGGCAUUGCAUUUCACUGUGAUGUUCUACUUGAGUUUGGCAUGAGGAUCAAGAACGGAGAAAAUGAAGGAGAUGACACACAGUUGAUUGAUGGAAUGUCGGAAUUUCGUGGACUAUUAAUGCCAUGGGAACCAACUGAAAUUCCCAUUAAUGGUAAUUGUGCUACAGUUGAGAUGUCUGCUGCACUUGUUAGUAAUGCAAUUGCGGCCAUUGUAGAAGUUAUCAUAUCAGAAGCACAUGGUGAUUUUGAUCUAUCCCUCAGUUCCAUUGUUUCUGUUGUGGAGGAACAUGAAUUUCAGCUUUUUCAUGGCUCCGCUGGUGACUGGUGUGGUGUAAGGAGGUUUGUGAUUGCUGUCACAGUAAAUACUAUGUUGCAUUUGAAGUUCAUGCUUGGUCACAGAUGCUCCAACGGUAACAUUGAAGACACUUGUUCCUUCAAAGCCAAGCUAAACGGACACGCCAGCCAUCAAACAAAUUUGGAGGCUGCUUCUAUCUUGACGAAGGUGACAUGGGCGGCAUGGCCUCCUGAAAUGUUUUGUUGACUAGAUACUGAUUGUCUUUAUGUUGGAAUCGGGUACUGUUAUACCCGAUACCCGAUUCCUAUUUCAAUAAGUAGUAGAGACUGUUUUCUAGUAAGUUUGUUUUAUGCUUCGUUAUAUUCACAUCAGAUAUUGAUCCCAGAGGCAUUACGCAUGACAAAUGUGUAACAUCAAACCUGAUUCCUUGAAGUUUUGGCCAAUGUGCCCAUGACGAAUGCAGGGUUUAACUCUUAGAAAUUGUUGAUGUCAGCAAAGAUUUAAUUGAAAUUUAAAAUUCAAAAUGUUUUAUAGCUCA